AACGAACGCUGGCGGCAUGCUUAACACAUGCAAGUCGAACGAGACCUCCGGGUCUAGUGGCGCACGGGUGCGUAACGCGUGGGAACUUGCCCUUAGGUUCGGAAUAACUCACCGAAAGGGGUGCUAAUACCGGAUAAUGUCUUCGGACCAAAGAUCUAUCGCUUUGGGAUGGGCCCGUGUUGGAUUCGCUAGUUGGUAGGGUAAAAGCCUACCAAGGCGACGAUCCAUAGCUGGUCUGGGAGGAUGAUCAGCCACACUGGGACUGAGACACGGCCCAGUCUGCUACGGGGGGCAGCAGUGGGGAAUAUUGGGCGAUGGGCGAAGACCUGAUCCAGCAAUGCCGCGUGAGUGGUGAAGGCCUUAGGGUUGUAAAGCUCUUUUUCCCGAGAUGAUAAUGACAGUACCGGGAAAAUAAGCUCCGGCUAACUCCGUG
rnacentral:rRNA from 1 species